UAUGCAGUGUUGUCAAGUGCCUGCAAGCUUUUUCAACAUAUUCAAGGGGAUUUAAAGUUCACUGAUAGAAUUAUUGACAGAAACGUGAGAACUGAAUAUAUACAGUUAUGGACAAACUCAGAGCGGUUCUGGGUGGUCGUGAUGGAAACAGUGACAAUGGAAAUAUACUGCAGGCGGCGGAUGAAGCGUCCACGCUGGGAUGGGGAACGCGUGUGAAAGGAUUCAUCGCCUGCAUGGUCAUCGGAGUUGUGUGCACUAUCCUAGGAGUGUGUUGCCUGUUUAUUCCCAAAACAGGUGUGAUUCUCUUCAUUGUCUUUUACACAUUUGGGAACGUAUGCUCCUUUGUAAGCACAAUGUUUUUGAUGGGGCCGAUAAAACAGCUUAAGAGGAUGUGUGACAAGACCAGAGCCUUUGCUACAGUUGUCAUGAUAACAGAUUAUUCCAUCUUUGACUACAUACACUUAGUGCCAUACCUGAAAACACACUGGAGACAUCAGCAAGUGGAAGAAUAUUUAUCUUUUUUUGUUUUGCUUAUGUGGAGUAUUUAGCAACCUGCCAGUUACACAAAUAAAGAUUCUGAUUCACUAUUUUUGACCCACUUUGUCAUUGGUACUAAUGGUCUCUGUGGGAGUAAUUGGAUUACAAAAUAAUUUGUUACCGUAGGCACAAAAGGUAAUGUAAUGUAUUACAUUUUACAUUAUUGUAAUUAGAUUACAGUCACUGACUUUAAGAACAUUACUUUGGUUAAAAAUAUUAAAAAAAUAUAUAUAUAAUUUAUGUGUAAUACAAUUUAAAUGUGAUAUAUAUUCAUGUGAACAUCUGUUUGCAUUUCUGUGCUGAAGGGUGUAAGACAAGGAGAAACUAGAUAUUAUUUUGAAUUUGUUGAGUGUAAACAUAAAAAAUUAAAAUAUUUGACAAGUUUUAACUUGAAAGUAACUUAAAAGUAAAGUAAAUAAUAAUGUGAUAAAAUGUUCAAUGAUGUAAUCAGUAAAGUAAUCGGAUUAUAAUUGUAGAUUAGUAUUUAAUAAUUUGUAGUGGAUUACUUUUUUUGUAAUUUACCCAACACUGCUAAUGGUUCUAUUUUUCUUUUUUGGUCUAGAUAUGUUUGGUUCUCACACUCUGUGCAGCUUUUUGGUGGAAGAUCUUUGCACUCUCUUUAUUGUUUGUCAUUCUACAAGUCCUUGCAUUUGCGUGGUA